AAUUGCACGGCCCAUUCAAUUCUGCAUUUGGAGAGGCGACCGUAAGCCCCGAGCGGGAGGUAAACACACCGAAAUGCACUUACCUGCACAGAAAGUUCCACAAAGCAAGGCGAAAGUCAGCCACGAAGCAAUCAUAUUCCUUUACUUUUUUCUUCCUCCUCGUGUGCCGCUCUAUCCCCAAGGGAAGCAAAAAUAAAAAUACGAAGAUCGAGAGAGUGAAAGAAGGGGGGAGACGCGAGGCUCUGCCCGCGCUCUCUCGCGCUUAAAAAAGAAAGAAAAAGAGAAAAGGGGGAAAAAAAAGGAAAAAAGGCAAAAAUCCUGGGGGAGGGGGGAGGGACGGGGGGAGGGAGAGAGAGGGAAAAAAAAUCGGAUUUAAUUCCUUCGCAGUUGCAAAAUGUAUCCAGUGGAGAGGAACAGCCCCGGACGGUUCGACCUGCUCCUGCCUGGCCCCGGCAUUCGCUCCGAGCUUUCCAAGAGUUUCUUUCGCUGGGCUUUUGUGCUGGGAGCUCGGCGUGCACCACACACUGACUCCCCCUCCCCUCACCCCCUUCUUCUCCUCCUCCUCCUCUUCCUCCUCCUCCUCCCAACCCAGCCCCUCCGGCUCCCCCAGCACUACGGGAGAGCGCACACGCACACGCGCGCGCGCGCACAACCCCCCGUCCCCCGUCCCCGCGGCGGUGCACGCGCAGCCCCCCGUGCAAUGCACGCGCAGCCCCGCGCAAAGGCGCGCGCGCGCACACUCACCCGGGGCCGCGCUUCCCCGCGCAACGCACACGCGCUCCCGGCGCCGGCAGCGAGCGGGACUCUGAGAGGUUGGUGA
rnacentral:lncRNA from 14 species